GUGGAGUGGGUGGCACAAAAUAAAUUCGAAAAUUUGUAUGCAGAAUUACCUUAGGUUCUCUUUUGUCUUGGUCAAUCUCUAGGUUGAUUAUACCCUUCUCUUGGACAUCUCCAUUUAGUAUAGUAAAAGGACAAUUUUGCAGAUUACCUGAAGUUAGUUGUCUUAUCUGAAUUUCCUUGACAUUCAUGUUUGGCACAAGGUAUUUAGUUCUAGUUAGAUUUGGUUCAGUAAAUAUUGUACUAUUUCUUUCUGCUUUCAGCAUAUAUUGUACUAUUUCUUUCUGCUGUCAGCAUAUAUUGCAUUUUAUUUGCGAGUCAGGACAGCCUUUACAAGUAUAAUAACUCCACAUGUGCAUGUUGUGAUACUGAUUGGAAAUGGUUUCAAUUUUCCUUCAGCCUCCACUGCAGGUUUAGAGCAUGGCAGCGAGCGGGUUCCCAUCAACAUGAUUCUAAGCCUUGCAUAUUUGGAUUCAUGAUGAGUGGAUGCAUGCCUCUUUUACUGCAAGUUUGAUCAUGGAUGGCUGCAAAAGAUGCCAAGAAUCAUAUCGGCAACUUUGGCUCCUUGUUUGUCUAAUGCCAUCAUCUUAACAAGUUAUAAUAUUGUGAUGUUUGUAUGAAGUACUAAUGACUGCUGGACUGAUGUUAUUCUGCACUGUCAAACUCCUAGUUUUCAUGCUUCUUGUGCUAUAAGUAUUUGUUCCCCAUCGAAUGAUGAUAUAGAUUGUAGAGUGUA